rnacentral:lncRNA from 1 species
GUAGGUUAGUAAACUCUCUGAUCGGGAAUACUUCGUACCCGCGCUUGACGUGCUGGAGAUUGGCAGGGGCGUAGCCUGAAACUCACAUGGUGAUCAGGCCAGAUGUGGGGUCCCAUGUGGGGGUGCGUCCCUGGGUCCGGGUAGUCUUAUUCCCAAUCAUUGGAUUUGCUGAUCGAAAAGUCGUUACGUACGACCUGUACAGUCGUAUAUAGCUGGUGAUCAGGGUACUCUCCUGCAGGAUGUAAAUGGAUCCGGAUCGCCGCAAUUC